rnacentral:rRNA from 1 species
CUUUCCCUCUUUCUUUAGGCCUAACACAUGCAAGUCGAACGGCAGCACAGUAAGAGCUUGCUCUUACGGGUGGCGAGUGGCGGACGGGUGAGGAAUACAUCGGAAUCUACUUUUUCGUGGGGGAUAACGUAGGGAAACUUACGCUAAUACCGCAUACGACCUACGGGUGAAAGCAGUGGAUCUUCGGACCUUGCGCGAUUGAAUGAGCCGAUGUCGGAUUAGCUAGUUGGCGGGGUAAAGGCCCACCAAGGCGACGAUCCGUAGCUGGUCUGAGAGGAUGAUCAGCCACACUGGAACUGAGACACGGUCCAGACUCCUACGGGAGGCAGCAGUGGGGAAUAUUGGACAAUGGGCGCAAGCCUGAUCCAGCCAUACUGCGUGGGUGAAGAAGGCCUUCGGGUUGUAAAGCCCUUUUGUUGGGAAAGAAAAGCAGCAGGUUAAUACCCCGCUGUUCUGACGGUACCCAAAGAAUAAGCACCGGCUAACUUCGUG